AGCCAGCGGCUCCUGUUCUUCGGCUCCCGUCCUCCGCUAGGUGAGCGGCAGCGAGAGGAACAGGCGCGCUCGCCUACCCGCUUCCCUGUUCAUUUCUCCCCGAGUGGUUGCAUUCUGCCCACGCUAAGAGGCUUCUUUCCGGGUCAUCCUCAGUCAAGCCCUAAACUUGGCCCUGGCCAUGGCCACUCAGAUGAAUGAUGCUCACCACCAGUUUCUGCAGGCUUUCCUAACUCUUGGCUUUGUGGAGAGGCCCGAAGCUGCAAAGCUGCACCAGUUGUACUGCCAGCUGCACAAGGGGCUCCAGGGGCUUCUUUCACCUGGAUCAGUGCCCGCUUCAGAACUGAGUCAGGAGAGGGAGCCUGAAGGGGACCCUCCCUCCAUCUGUGUGUGUAAUGAAGAGCCUCUCAGGGCCUGGCAGUGCCCCCUUUCCACCCUCUCCUGUGUCUCCAAGAGUUAGCAG